rnacentral:rRNA from 1 species
AGUGGGGAAUAUUGCACAAUGGGCGCAAGCCUGAUGCAGCCAUGCCGCGUGUGUGAAGAAGGCCUUAGGGUUGUAAAGCACUUUCAGUCGUGAGGAAAGGUGUGUGCUUAAUACGUACAUACUGUGACGUUAGCGACAGAAGAAGGACCGGCUAACUCCGUGCCAGCAGCCGCGGUAAUACGGAGGGUCCGAGCGUUAAUCGGAAUUACUGGGCGUAAAGCGCGCGUAGGUGGAUUGGUCAGUCAGAUGUGAAAGCCCAGGGCUCAACCUUGGAACUGCAUCUGAUACUGCUAGUCUAGAAUACAGUAGAGGGUAGUGGAAUUUCCUGUGUAGCGGUGAAAUGCGUAGAUAUAGGAAGGAACACCAGUGGCGAAGGCGACUACAUGGACUGAUAUUGACACUGAGGUGCGAAAGCGUGGGGAGCAAACAGGAUUAGAUACCCUGGUAGUCCACGCCGUAAACGAUGUCUACUAGCCGUUGGAAGACUUGAUCUUUUAGUGGCGAAGCUAACGCGAUAAGUAGACCGCCUGGGGAGUACGGCCGCAAGGUUAAAACUCAAAUGAAUUGACGGGGGCCCGCACAAGCGGUGGAGCAUGUGGUUUAAUUCGACGCAACGCGAAGAACCUUACCAACUCUUGACAUCCAGAGAAGAGGCUAGAGAUAGCUUUGUGCCUUCGGGAACUCUGAGACAGGUGCUGCAUGGCUGUCGUCAGCUCGUGUUGUGAAAUGUUGGGUUAAGUCCCGUAACGAGCGCAACCCUUGUCCUUAUUUGCCAGCACGUAAUGGUGGGAACUCUAAGGAGACUGCCGGUGACAAACCGGAGGAAGGUGGGGACGACGUCAAGUCAUCAUGGCCCUUACGAGUUGGGCUACACACGUGCUACAAUGGCCGGUACAGAGGGCUGCAAACCUGCGAAGGUAAGCUAAUCUCACAAAACCGGUCGUAGUCCGGAUUGGAGUCUGCAACUCGACUCCAUGAAGUCGGAAUCGCUAGUAAUCGUGGAUCAGAAUGCCACGGUGAAUACGU